UGGUCAUUACCAAGGCUUUUAGAAUGCAGUUUCUCAUUUGAGGUGGCCAUGACCACAAAACAUUUUUCCAACUAGGUUUUCUUUCUUCUACUAGUAUGUUGCUAGCAUUCAGCCUAUUGGGAACAUUU
ensembl:snoRNA